GCUCAACCUUUCCACCUCCGGCAGUGGAAAUCGCUGCGCCGCCAUUUUUUUUUUUUUUUUCAAUAGUUAUUUUGAUUUUAAUUGUUGAGAAUAAAGCAUAUGUGGGAAGUAAUAAAUGUAUUUUUCACCCCGGUCUCUUUAAACAAUAUUGGGAGAUGGGAAAAUUCCUGAAAAUAGGCAGGCUCCGGACAGGGGGGCGUUUAUUCUGUAUGUAUGCAAAAGUCUACGUAAAAGGAGACAAAGUUAAGCAAAAAAUCGAAAUAUCAACCCUUGAUAAAUAAAAAGGCUUUGACGAGAGAUUUAUAUGAAUGAAGCUCGGUUAUUGUCUCUUCAGCCUGACGGCUCCAUUUGCUAAGAGAGAUCGAAAAAGAAGAAAAAGAAAAAAGUUGGGAAGAAUAUUGCAAAAGUAUCGCGGGAAAGCACAGCAAUAUAAGUCAGUAACUGAAUGGUUUAGAGAGACGACGCAG
rnacentral:sRNA from 2 species